rnacentral:rRNA from 1 species
UACGUAGGGGGCAAGCGUUGUCCGGAAUUAUUGGGCGUAAAGCGCGUGUAGGCGGCUCGGUAAGUCUGCUGUGAAAGUCCAGGGCUCAACCCUGGAAUGCCGGUGGAUACUGUCGAGCUAGAGUCCGGAAGAGGCGAGUGGAAUUCCUGGUGUAGCGGUGAAAUGCGCAGAUAUCGGGAGGAACACCAAUUGCGAAGGCAGCUCGCUGGGACGUCACUGACGCUGAGACGCGAAAGCGUGGGGAGCAAACAGG